rnacentral:SRP_RNA from 2 species
AGGCUGUAAUGGCUUUCUGGUGGGAUGGGAUACGUUGAGAAUUCUGGCCGAGGAACAAAUCCUUCCUCGCGGCUAGACACGGAUUGCACGCCCUUUGGGCAAGGGAUAGUUCUCUAUUCCGCACCGUGCCCUGUUGUGGCAACCGUCUUUCCUCCGUCGUAAAUUUGUCCUGGGCAGAGCUGUCUGCCCGGAGGCGGGAGAGUCCGUUCUGAAGUGUCCCGGCUAUAAUAAAUCGAUCUUUGCGGGCAGCCCGUUGGCAGGAGGCGUGAGGAAUCCGUCUCUCUGUCUGGUGCGGCAAGGUAGUUCUGGGUCCUUAGGGGCUCCACCUUCACCGCUGUUAGGGGAGUUUUAUCCAGCGUCAGCAAAGGUGACCCGUGAUGGAGGCGGCCGGGAUAGCACAUAUCAGUCGGAUAAUUGUGCAAGUUGAUC